AUGAGACGUCGCCAUGGCGUUUUCGUCGCGAUUCGCGUUCUGGGAGCAAAAGGGAAGUCUCGGCCGCGCUUGCCCGCACCCCGCGGCGCCCACCCCGGUUCGGUGCCAAAACCCGCCGCGGCAAGAGCGAGGGGCUCCCGGGCCCGGGCACCGUCCUCGCACCCCGCCAGCAAACCAGCAGCUGCCCCCCACUGCCUCUGCUUGGCCGCGGUCGCUGCCGCUGGCUCCGCGCGGGGCUUGUGCACCUCCUACCGCGGCGCCAGGCACCUCGGGCACCCAACCCCCGCGGCGGUGCUGGCCUCGCCGGGGCCGCCGGCCCGAGCAGCCCCCCCGGGAGCGGUGCUGUGCGGGAUGGACGGUGCCCACGGUCCGUGGCGCGUUGCUGGAGCCCCUCGGCGUGGCUUYGCAGCGUCCUGCAGCUUUGCGGGGGGCGGCGAGGCCGAGCCGGCGGCCGGAGCAUGCCGGGGCCGGCUGCUGCAGAGAUUAGCCGGUGACGCUCGCGUUGGGAUCGGGUGCCUCGCGGGGAAGGACAGGGACAGCUUGCUGYGGCCAGCUCACUUUCCCGAUCCGCGCACCUUGCCGUUGGCUCGUUGGCUCGCUGCCGCGUUGAGCUCAGCUGUCAGAGCUAACUUGGGCAGCGUGCAAAAGGCAGGACCCUCCCGGGAGCAGCCGAGAGGCUUUAUUUACCCACUCGGUCACCAGCUGCAAAUGCAGCCCCUCCUGCCGCGGGGAGCUGCUGGGCGCCCGGGACACGCGGCCCGAGCCCUCUGCUCCCGACCCGGGCGGCACGGUGCUUUCCCCGCGGCCUGGCAGGAAUUGCAGGGAUGUCGCUCCGCGCCGGGCCCCGUGGGUGCCCCGCUGGGCGCCGCGCACGUUUGCGUUCCCAUCCUCGGGCCGGACCCAGACCUUGCGCUCAGCAGCAGGCUGCRGAUUUGGGCCGCGAACCUCAUGCGAAAGCUUCCUAGGGCGGGUUUCCCUCCGGGAGCCCCGGGCACGGCUGCUCCUCGUCCCGAAGCACGGAGACCCACGGUCUCCGCAGCUUUUCCCCCAGCGCCUCGCCUGCUAGUGCGGCUCCUGGGCUAA
rnacentral:lncRNA from 1 species